CAGCGGGAUCAUUGCUUCUGCUUCAUAGGCUAAGUUGAAGGGAGAUUUUUCCGUUGGGACACGGGACAUCGUCCGAUAGGCCCACAGGACGGAGUUCAAUUCUUCAACCUAUAAGCCUUUGGCUUCAUUUAGUCGGGUCUUUAGUCCGUGUAGAAUGGUCCGAUUGGUCACCUCGACCUCGUCGUUGGACUGUGGAUGCCCGAUCAAG
rnacentral:lncRNA from 1 species